rnacentral:rRNA from 1 species
AGAGUUUGAUCAUGGCUCAGGACGAACGCUGGCGGCGUGCUUAACACAUGCAAGUCGAACGGAAAGUGCCCAGCUUGCUGGGUGACUCGAGUGGCGAACGGGUGAGUAACACGUGGGUGAUCUGCCCUGCACUUUGGGAUAAGCCUGGGAAACUGGGUCUAAUACCGAAUACACCCUGCUGGUCGCAUGGCCUGGUGGGGGAAAGCUUUUGCGGUGUGGGAUGGGCCCGCGGCCUAUCAGCUUGUUGGUGGGGUGAUGGCCUACCAAGGCGACGACGGGUAGCCGGCCUGAGAGGGUGUCCGGCCACACUGGGGCUGAGAUACGGCCCAGACUCCUACGGGAGGCAGCAGUGGGGAAUAUUGCACAAUGGGCGCAAGCCUGAUGCAGCGACGCCGCGUGAGGGAUGACGGCCUUCGGGUUGUAAACCUCUUUCAAUAGGGACGAAGCGUAAGUGACGGUACCUAUAGAAGAAGCACCGGCCAACUACGUGCCAGCAGCCGCGGUA